rnacentral:rRNA from 1 species
GAUGAACGCUGGCGGCGUGCAUAACACAUUCAAGUCGAACGGUGACGGGGCUUCGGCCCCUGAUCAGUGGCGGACGGGUGAGUAACGCGUGAGCAAUCUGCCUCUGUGUGCGGGAUAACAGCCGGAAACAGCUGCUAAUACCGCAUAACGUAUACGGGCCGCAUGACCUGUAUACCAAAGGUUUACUGCACAGAGAUGAGCUUGCGUCUGAUUAGAUAGUUGGCGGGGUAACGGCCCACCAAGUCGACGAUCAGUAGCCGGACUGGGAGGUUGAACGGCCACAUUGGAACUGAGAAACGGUCCAGACUCCUACGGGAGGCAGCAGUGGGGAAUACUGGGCAAUGGGCGAAAGCCUGACCCAGCGACGCCGCGUGAGGGAAGACGGUCUUCGGAUUGUAAACCUUUGUCAACAGGGACGAACAAAUGACGGUACCUGUGGAGGAAGCCACGGCUAACUACGUGCCAGCCGCCGCCGUAAGAC